rnacentral:rRNA from 1 species
AGAGUUUGAUCAUGGCUCAGAACGAACGCUGGCGGCGUGCUUAACACAUGCAAGUCGAGUGCGCGGUUGUAGCAAUACAACUGGCGCACGGCGCACGGGUGCGUAACACGUGGGCAAUCUGCCCUCCGAUGGGGAAUAACCCCGCGAAAGCGGGGCUAAUACCGCAUAACAUUCCGGGGACCUCGGUUCCUGGACUCAAAGGCGUAAGUCGUCGGAGGUGGAGCCCGCGCCCGAUUAGCUAGUUGGUGAGGUAACGGCUCACCAAGGCAAUGAUCGGUAGCUGGUCUGAGAGGAUGGCCAGCCACACUGGAACUGAGACACGGUCCAGACUCCUACGGGAGGCAGCAGUGGGGAAUCUUGCGCAAUGGGCGAAAGCCUGACGCAGCGACGCCGCGUGGGGGAUGAAGCAUCUCGGUGUGUAAACCCCUUUCGACUGGGACGAAUGCCUCGCAAGAGGAGUGACGGUACCAGUAGAAGAAGCCCCGGCUAACUACGUGCCAGCAGCCGCGGUAAGACGUAGGGGGCCAGCGUUGUUCGGAAUUACUGGGUGUAAAGGGUUCGUAGGCGGUGUAGCAAGUCGGGAGUGAAAUCUCUGGGCUUAACCCAGAGGCUGCUUCCGAAACUGCUGUGCUGGAGUGUGGGAGAGGCGCGUGGAAUUGCAGGUGUAGCGGUGAAAUGCGUAGAUAUCUGCAGGAACACCCGUGGCGAAGGCGGCGCGCUGGACCACUACUGACGCUGAGGAACGAAAGCUAGGGGAGCAAACAGGAUUAGAUACCCUGGUAGUCCUAGCCCUAAACGAUCAGGACUUGGGGUGCCACCCGUUCGGGUGUCGUCCCGGAGCUAACGCGUUAAGUCCUGCACCUGGGGGAGUACGGUCGCAGACUGAAACUCAAAGGAAUUGACGGGGGCCCGCACAAGCGGUGGAACAUGUGGUUCAA